GAUCCUGGCUCAGGAUGAACGCUGGCGGCGUGCCUAACACAUGCAAGUCGAACGAAGCAAUUUAACGGAAGUUUUCGGAUGGAAGUUGAAUUGACUGAGUGGCGGACGGGUGAGUAACGCGUGGGUAACCUGCCUUGUACUGGGGGACAACAGUUAGAAAUGACUGCUAAUACCGCAUAAGCGCACAGUAUCGCACGAUACAGUGUGAAAAACUCCGGUGGUACAAGAUGGACCCGCGU
rnacentral:rRNA from 1 species